rnacentral:rRNA from 1 species
GUGCCAGCAGCCGCGGUAAUACGAAGGGUGCAAGCGUUAAUCGGAAUUACUGGGCGUAAAGCGCGCGUAGGUGGUUCAGUAAGUCGGAUGUGAAAGCCCCGGGCUCAACCUGGGAAUUGCAUUCGAUACUGGUCAGCUAGAGUCUGGUAGAGGUAAGCGGAAUUCCGGGUGUAGCGGUGAAAUGCGUAGAUAUCCGGAGGAACAUCAGUGGCGAAGGCGGCUUACUGGACCAAGACUGACGCUCAUGUACGAAAGCGUGGGUAGCAAACAGGAUUAGAUACCCUGGUAGUCCACGCCCUAA